UACUGUAGUGUACUAUAGACUAUAGUGUUUCGAUGCCAAUAUAACCUCUCACGUCUGAAGUACCACUUUACUGACUGAAAUAAUAAGAUAUUAUUAAAAUACUUUGGCGAUUACGACAUACAAAGUUUAUCAGAUUAACGAGAAAUAUUUAGUAGACACCGUUCUACAAAAAGCGGCUAAAAUAUUAAUUCAAUAUUAUAAACAAAAAACGGCGAAUUAUGUAAAGUACGGUAAUAAUUAACACGGGCGCAUUGGAAAUAUGAAAAGAAAAUGAAAAUAGUGCCAUUGUAAUCGUCGGGGAGACAUAAUUGCGUUACGAAUUUCAAAGGAUUUUAUUGUUUGAAGAAAGAAUUAAAUACAUUUAGUACAAUGGUGCAACCAGUGUUUGGGGCAUGGGAUUAUACCAUCAUGGCUGCCACAAUGGUUCUCUCUGUAGCCAUUGGGGUGUACUUCCGAUUCAGUGGCGGGAAACAGAAAACAAAUGAGGAAUAUCUUUUAGCUGACAGAAACAUGUCAAUAUUGCCGGUCGCCGUGUCAUUGAUGGCGUCAUUCAUGUCAGCAAUAAGUUUACUCGGAGUGUCGGCAGAGAACUACUACUACGGGAUGAUAUUCAUCGUAAUUAAUUUCUCAUAUGGAAUCGCAACUCCGAUCUGUUCCCACCUGUACUUGCCCGUGUUCUUCGGGCUUCAGAAGACCAGUACCUACGAGUACUUGGAGCUGCGGUUUGGACCUCGAAUACGAAUGCUAGCGUCGCUGACGUACACCUUGCAGAUGAUACUGUACAAUGGGAUUGUGCUGUACGCUCCAGCGAUUGUUCUGGAAGCAGUAACUGGGCUGGAUCGCGUGGUGUCCAUCCUAGUGGUCGGCCUGGCCUGCACGUUCUACUCGACACUGGGCGGCAUGAAGGCUGUACUCUUCACAGAUUUAUUGCAGUCACUCUUAAUGUUUGCAGCUGUAUUCAGUAUUGUGAUAUUCGCUUCAAUACAACUGGGUGGGCUAGGGAAUAUAUUUGCAAUCGCUAAGGAGCGCGCUCGAUUAGAUUUCUCCAAUACCAGCGUCAACCCAACAGAGCGUCACACCUGGUGGUCUCUCAUAGUCGGAGGGCUGUUCACGUAUUUGUCGUUGUAUGCCGUGAAUCAUACACAAAUCCAACGGCUGCUGACAGUAAGCACGCUGUCUCGCUCUCAACAGUGUCUGUGGUGGAGCUGGCCAGUGCUGUCAGUCCUGAGUGUGGUGACCAGUACCAGUGGCCUGGCGAUCUACGCCGCGUAUAAGGACUGCGAUCCGGUUGCAAGUGGAAAGAUAACUGCAAUCGACCAGCUAAUGCCGUUCUACGUGGUGGACACCAUGAGGUCGGUGCCAGGACUGGCUGGUCUGUUCGUGGCUGGUAUCUUCAGCGCUUCUCUCUCCACAGUGUCGGCUGCCUGCAACGCUCUGGCCGCGGUCACUCUCACAGAUUACGUUAGCAGGUGGUGUAAAAUAAAAGAAACUUACAUAUCGUGGUUGACGAAACUAGCUGCCUGUGGCUACGGCCUGCUGUUUCUUGCAUUAGCCUUCCUGGCCGAGUACUUGGGAGGUGUUCUACAAGCAGCCUUAACAAUAUUUGGAGCAGUUGGAGGGCCUCUGCUUGGGGUGUUCACUUUAGGAAUGUUUACAACAUUCGCCACAGAACUAGGAGUAUCAGUGGGACUGCUCUCUGGAAUGGCUUUCACGUUAUGGAUGAGCUUCGGCGGCCCUCGCCCCCCUACUGUCAAGUUGCCAGUCAGUGUCGAUGGAUGUGCAUUCAACGUUACAGUGCCACCCCCUGUCACUGUUGAUCCAAAUGAAUAUUUCUACUUGUACAGAAUAUCUUAUAUGUGGACGAGCCCUAUUGGUUUUGCGUGGGUUGUAGUAGUGGGGUGUAUUAUAUCCCUCCUGUACCGGCAGCAGCAACCGUGGCAACGGGCGGGCCGACCCCACCCCGACCCGGCACUAUUCACCCCCCCACUCGCACAUAUAUUGAGGACGAGGCUUAGAGAGAAAGAGAGUGCCCAGAUGGGCACAUUUGCUAUGCACUGAAUUCUUCUACAUUCCUGGGAUGUAAAUAAUAAAUAGCUUACGACUUUACUUCUUCAGUGUGAACUGUUGAACAAAGAAGACAUCAGAAACAGACAGAGCUAGAGCAUUACAUUCAAACAUAAAAGCACAAACGGUUCAUUCGUUAAAACAAUUAACAUAAUUGUUGUUAAUGUAUAUAAAAUAUAUUUAUGUAGGUGUAUACAAUAAUUUUUUCAUUAAGUAUAGAUAGCCGAGUGUUUUAGAUUACACGACAAGUGAAAAUUUCGUAAGUUUUACUCUGACUGAUCGUGCUUAGCGUUACAUAUCCGAGCAUGACACCUCAGUCUUAUUCAAUACAUACAUAUAGAGUGCUUAGCACGUCUUAAGAAGUUUUCACUGCAAGUGAACCUGAACAACCGUACUUUGGUUUGUUUUCCUAUGUAUUUCCAUAAAGCAUGGGUAAUUAAGAAACAGCCACAUGUUUUAGCCUUGAUAUAAACCCUGAGUGAUUGAUCAGUACUAGCGUCACAGUUGUGCUAAAGUAUUGGAUGUUACUCUAAAUUAGCUUAAUUUCAGGCAAUUGUCUCACCGCCGGCUGUGAGCUAGCGUGUGUGUGUGUAGCUCGAUUCUUAUAAUAAAAGUGUGUGUGUCCUUAUGUAUGCACGCAAGAAGUUAUACUUCUUUGGUCUAACGAAGCAAAAAUGAUUAAAAUGAUUUAUUCCUCGUGUUAUUCUACGUUUUAAGAAAGAACAAUUUUGUUAAAAUCUUGCAAUGAUGGCUUUGACAAUUAUUUAUUAAAUAAUGAAUACGACUGUAUGGGCUUGAACCCUUUGCCUGUCCUAAUAAUGGAUACAGAAACCAAAAAAAUAAAUAAUGAAUGACGCAAACGUCGGAAAAUUUUAGAAACCAACUUCAACCUACAACUUUUGUGUUACAGUGAUGCGCGCACAUCUUAAAAUUUUACUCUCAUAUUUUUUUUCAUAACGCGCCUAAAGAAGUAUAACUUCAAUAAAGUUAAAAUAAAGGUGUGAAAGACACAGAAGAUGGCCGCUGGUCGGGCCUUGAGGGUUUGCUGGACCACCAUGGCUCAGCGAGGGUUAUCUUUGAUGGCUCGCGUCGCUGCUACAAACUAGUGGAGAGAGUGGUCCCCACUAGCCGGCAGAGUGAGCACUCAGUGAUCAACUAUUAAUAUAUGUAUCUCUUUUAUACACAUGAACUCUAUAUCUGUCGUUACAGUGUCAUUAACUUAUCUGUGAACUGAUGGGUGUCGCCAGGUUUUAGUGUUGCUAAUUAAUUCCAAUGUGCACAAAAGUCGGGGCAUAUUUAACGCUUAAAAUUCAGAAGUAUCGCAAUAAAACACACGGAACACUAGACCAGUGUCUACUACUUUAGAUUCAGUCACGGACGAGUAAAAUAAUAAGGACUCCGUGUCACCUUACGUAACAGUGAGGCACCAAAACAAGCCGGUAAACGUGUAAAUAUAUAGCCCCACGCAUACACUUACACUAAUACAAUCGUCUAUGACAGAUCAGUUUGCGUCGCAAUAAAAUAUUUUAAAAAUGCCGUUUUGCGUCGUGAAAAAGUGUAAAAAAAAAUUAUGGAAAUAUGAUUAUCUAAGGGAGAAAAAUUGUGUAACUGAUAUACCACUAGCAUAAAGGUGCUUCACUUGCUAAUAUCACGGCGCGGAGCCCUUUUUCUUCUAGUCCGUGGACACUGACACUCGAAUGACAUUUCAAUAUGGCGACCGUAGUUCCUGUUUUUGCCACUUGACACAGAUAAGUUGGUAUUGCUAUACUCGCUUUCCCGCCGGCGCGGGCGUGUCAAAUGCCUAAUUUUCAUGCCAAAAACCAUUAUUUUGCUUUGUUGCUGGUUGAUUGCCUUUAUCAAAUAAAACACUAGUAAAUCUAAUUUGAUUUUUCAAAAAUAUUAAACAUUAGAAUAGAUUUAUCAGAUUUGUUUGAAGUUUUUUUUUUUGUUUAAAGACGUUAAAACUGUAAUCGCAGAAUCUGUACUACUCAAUAGUUCAGGAUUGCAGAUUUAGCAUCAUUUCUGUAUGUUAUAAAUAAUGCCCUAUGGUUCCUAGGUAAAUAUACAAUAAAUAUUGACAAUACAUAGAGUAUGUAAUAGAUUAUUAUCUAUGUAAGUAGGUAGAUAUAAGCAAAUGUCUAUAAGUAUUUAACUGAAUUAAUGAAAAUGUGAGCUUGUUCGUUUGUUACACGUGUAUAUUGUCAGUGGUACAGAAAAAUAACAUCAUUACGGAAAUUAAAUUUGAAAACAAAAUCAUUAAGAAACAAACCACAUUAAACAUUAAACAUGUUUAGAUUUGUAAGAGCGACAUUUCAAGUCAAUUUCCUUAUAUGCAAAUAUUGAGGUUGAGCAGGUUAUCAACUGUAAAGUAGAUCCUGUAGAUGAAGCCACAUCCUGAGAGUUGAACAAGACAUACAAGAUUUAUCAAGGAUACGUCCCUCGUACGGUUGGCUUAGUGGAAAGAGCGCUCGCAUGGAACGCGAGAAGUCGCUGGUUCGAGUCAUGCGGGGCGUUCAUAAAUUUGGUUUUCAAAUUUAAUUUCUGUCAUUAAUGCCAGAAGUGAGGGUUAUCACUUUAAAAAAUAACAAAUUGUUGACAUUAUUACAAUAGAAGUUACAUUUAUCAGUAAUUGUUAAGUUCCCUGUGGAGUGUGAUACAAGACGCGGACGAAGACGGGGGCAGAAGCUGUUGUUGACAACAAUACUAGAGGUCUUUAGACACUGGCUGGUUUGUUUUUUACUCGAAACUGUAACCGAAAUAGUAUUACUUUAAUUAAUUGCAGAAUUUUGUAUGUGAAAUGUGAAUUAUCUAUAUAUAAUUAUCUUAAGUAAGAUCAAUUAAACCCUAUUGCGUGGAUUUCACCGACUUUCAAACUAAUGUCUACAUCGCUAUCACUUUCUUUGUUGAUGUUGAUAAAAAUAUCGAAUGUCGACAAAUGGUGCAUUUAACGACAAAAAUAUUUACUAGUGGGAGGCUCCUUUGCACAGGAUGCCAGCUAGGUUAUGGCUACCACAACCGCGCCUAUUUCUGUUGUGAAGCAGUAAUGUGUAAAUAUUAUUGUGUUUAUGUCUGAAGGGCGCCAUAGCUAGUGAAAUUACUGGGCAAAUGACACUUAACAUCUUAUGUCUCAAGGUGACGAGCGCAGUUGUAGUGCCGCUCAGAAUUUUUGGAUUUUUCAAAAACCCUGAGCGAUACUGCAUUGUAGGGCGUGUACCAGGGCGUGUCAAUUACCAUCAGCUGACGUCCUGCUCGUCUCGUCCUCUUAUUGUCAUAAGAAAAAAAAAGAUAACAUUAUAUCCACAAUUAUGGUUUUCAAUACCGAAAAUCUGUGUUAUCUACUACAAUUUUAUUUAUUACAAUUUGUAUAUUAUAUUUUUAUAAUUUAGAAGUCAACAAUAUAUUUUAGGAGAGCAAUUCCUUCAAAAUGAUUAUUUGUGAACAUUAUUUUGUAUUUAUACUAAUAGUUAGUAUGAAAUUUUUAGAUAAAGCGAAUCAAUGUUGAGUUUAUUAAAUAAAAGUGCUGACUGAGUAUGUAUGAUUUUUGUGUUGAUGUUCGAACAGCGUACGAUGUAUGAUACACGCGAUGUAUGAAACAUAUCAAUAAUGAUCACAGUUAUAUUUUCGAAACCGACUUUUUUAUUCGUCUCUUGCCAUAAAGUUACUUAUUACUGUUUUUUGUAAAUAUUUUGGGCUUAUCUUGAAAAACUGUUGAAACAUUACUGAUUAUAAUAAUAAUUACUAUGUAAAUUAAGAUGGAAUGGACAUAUUUGUUUUACGACCAUAUUUUAAUUAAUAAUGGUAAAAAUAAUAUUUGAUAUGGGUACUAUUUAAUAUUGAAAUAGGUUUCAAAAUAAAAAGUGACUAAUUAUAAUAUAUAUUGUGUUUAGUUAUAAAAUAUUUUAUUAUAGAAAAAUAGUUGUCUAUGCACCGUUGUGAAAUACCUAAGGGGUAUUAAAACACGAAUGAUGGUUUACUACACGAGGCAAAACCGAGUGUAAUGUAUCACAUGAGUGUUUUUAUACGUAGUUAUCAACAGUUGCAUACUAGUUAUUAAUGCAACUGUUGUGUAAUAAGGGGUAUUAAAACACGAAUGUGGAUGCGAUGGAUGGGAGUGUGAUAUACAUGAGUGUUUUAAUACCUAAUCAUCAACAGUUGCAUACAAGACUUUAUCUACACCCAGAAUAUGAAUCCUCUAAAAGAUUCUAAAACAGUUAGCUUACUGCUAACACUUAAACACCAGUCCUAGUAGUAACCUAAUAUCAUUCAUUACUGAUUAUAUACAUAUAAACUAAGUAUUGAAAGAAUUAUUUAUUUUAGUAGUAAUUUACAUUUUGUAUAGUGCAAUAAUUGAAAUUCACUCGAAUAUAAUGUCCUUUUGCAGCUUUUAAAAUGAAUCGCUCAUUUUUUGUAAACAAAACAAAAAUAUCGAAGCAAAAUGGCGGGGAUUCGAAUAACCUACUUUUUUUACGGCGCGCGACGUUCUGGUAGUGUGGAACGCGCGUAAACGAAAAUGUUCUUUUUUUGAAAUUCAUACAGAUACCACGCAUAGAGCAAUAAGAAUGUGGCUGUCUGUUGAAACUCUUUGCGCAUGAAGGGAUCAAAAAAAAAACAUAGAAGUGUUGUUAUGAAAUUCAGUACAACAUUACAACACUCGUUUGGAUGAUGUAAUGGUUAAUAGAACAUUGGGUGUUUUAAUGUUGGCAAUAAGCUAACUGUUUCAGAAUCUUUAAUAAAGGAUUUAAUGCAUGGGUGUAGAUAAGAGACUUUAUCUACACCCAAAAUAUGAAUCCUAUUGCCAACAAACGAGAGUUGAAUUAUAAUGAAAUUCAGUACGAAAUUACUUUUUUAGUGUUAGCAGUAAGCUAACUGUUUUAGAAUCUUUAAUAGAGUAUUUAAAGCAUGGGUGUAGAUAAAAUAGUUUAUUAUUAAUUAAGUAAAUAUUUAUCAUAUCUAUAGUUUGGAAGUUUCACCAAACAGUAAUUGUGUCACAUCUAUCUAAAUUCUAAAUAAUCAGACAUAUUGUAGUACUUUGUUUUCGUUUUGGUGUCAGAAAAUUGUAAUAUUACCUCAACUGAAAUACAACAAGUUUUUAUUUUAAUGUGUACUUAAACAAAAUACAAUAUUUUAAAAU